rnacentral:rRNA from 1 species
GAUGAACGCUAGCUACAGGCUUAACACAUGCAAGUCGAGGGGAAACGACAUCGAAAGCUUGCUUUUGAUGGGCGUCGACCGGCGCACGGGUGAGUAACGCGUAUCCAACCUGCCCACCACUUGGGGAUAACCUUGCGAAAGUAAGACUAAUACCCAAUGAUAUCCCACGAAGACAUCUGAAUGGGAUUAAAGAUUUAUCGGUGAUGGAUGGGGAUGCGUCUGAUUAGCUUGUUGGCGGGGUAACGGCCCACCAAGGCAACGAUCAGUAGGGGUUCUGAGAGGAAGGUCCCCCACAUUGGAACUGAGACACGGUCCAAACUCCUACGGGAGGCAGCAGUGAGGAAUAUUGGGCAAUGGGCGAGAGCCUGAACCAGCCAAGUAGCGUGCAGGAAGACGGCCCUAUGGGUUGUAAACUGCUUUUAUAAGGGAAUAAAGUGGGUCACGUGUGACUUUUUGCAUGUACCUUAUGAAUAAGGACCGGCUAAUUCCGU